UAAAUUUGCAGUUAAAGAAAGAAGAAAAUCUAUCAAGCUUCUUGAGUUUUUUUUUACAUUCUUGUUACAUUACUGAGAUUCAAGAUAAAGUUGCAACAGAAAUCGAAAAAACAACAAAAAUGAGAAACAAGGUCACAAAUGUUGUAGAAUUUGAAAACGGUGUGAGUGAAGAAAGCCUAGAAAAGAUGCAGAAUCUUCAUGCAGAUUUCAACGGAAGUUCCAGUGGUAUGCUAUCUCAGAUAUUUAGCAAUUUCUCAUAACUUACAGGAGAGUCAGAGGCUCAUAUCGUAACAGGAUGAACCUUUUCGGUGGAAACAAUACCAUCAGACGCCAGAUUUAUAUGCUUUGCGGGGUGAUGAUGUAUCUAUAUGUUAUGAUGUGAAGAAAGGAGAUUACCAUACCUUGUCAGCCAUAUGCCAUAGGCAGGGUCAAGUUUGAUGCAUUCGAACCUGAAAGAUGGUUUCAUCACAUUGUUGCUUUCAUCCACAAAGCAUCCUUAAGUUUACAGCUUUGCAGUCAACCUUCAAGUUAUGUCAUAUGACCAAAGCAAAAGUUUUGACAUGAUUUACUAUUUUGAUGAAGAAACACAAGAGGGACAAAGAAUUUGUUUGGCUCAAGAAUUUGCGUAUGUGCUGCAGAUGAAGGAAGAUCUUUGCUUCUAUUUAAGUUGAUCCAUGAUCUAGCAUACUCGUAUUUGGUGCAAUUAGACACACGGAAGUGGAUUGGAAAAUGGUUCAUGCUAAAAAAGGAUUAACUUUCAGUACGUUUGAAGUUAUAUGGGGGAUAAGUAAUGGACAUAAACGUCUCGACGAGCCACACGCAUGGACAAAUGCUAUAGGCGGGUUUUCCCAAAUCUCGGCAACCAAUUUCGUCAUCUAGAGCUCCAGUUUUGAAGCCAAGGCUGUUAAUUUCAAGGAACCCUUGGAGCGGUUACACAUUGCGUCUGAUGGCACUUGGCAUUCAUGGGCUAAGUUACGCACCUCCGAUUGGAACUUAUAACCAAUAAAGAAUUAAUGGAACUUGCCUUUGAUGUCAAGUUACCAUCUGAUGAAGAUUAAAAGAACUUGCCACUCAAGCAAGUUACCUCUAGUGAAGAUUGAUGAAGUCUCGCUAACGAAGAAGAGAUGCCACGUAUUAGCCUAUCAUUUGAUGAAGACAAUCUGUUGAGAGGAUGUUAUACGUAAUUGUCACUUGUCAAUUCCGUACAUCUCAACAAGAUAACAAAAACAUGAGUCCGUAUUGAAUUAGUUAUCA